AAUGCUAAAAGAAUGGAAUUUUAAGAAAAAACUUUUUUAAAAAUAAAAAUUAAAUUUUUUUUAAUUUGUGCAAAACCAAUUAUUUAUAUUAAAGACAAGAAGACCCUAUGAAUUUAUGAUUAAAUAAACUAAAAAUUUUUAGUUUAUUUAAUCUUGAUUGGGGCAAUCAAAAAAUAUUAAUAACUUUUUUAAAUUUAAAUGAUCUAUUAUUAAUAAUCUAAUGGAAUAAAUACUCUAGGGAUAACAGCGUA
rnacentral:rRNA from 1 species